UACGGAGGAUGCAAGCGUUAUCCGGAUUGAUUGGGCGUAAAGCGUCUGUAGGUGGUUACGCUAGUCGGCUGUUAAAGAUCAGGGCUGAACCCUGAGCAAGCAGUCGAAACUGCGUGGCUGGAGUACGGUAGGGGCAGAGGGAAUUCCCGGUGUAGCGGUGAAAUGCGUAGGUAUAGGUCGGAGGAACACCAGUGGCGAAGGCGGCUCUCUGGACCGGUUCUGGACGCUCAGGGCGCGAAAGCGUGGGGAGCGAUCCGG
rnacentral:rRNA from 1 species